UAGUCUUAUUUAGUUCAUUAA
rnacentral:piRNA from 1 species